GACGAACGCUGGCGGCGUGCUUAACACAUGCAAGUCGAACGGAAGGGCGCUGCGUUUGUGGGGCGGACGAGAGGCGAGCGGGGGAGAAACACGCGAGUAAACUGCACUUGACAGAGGGGUAAAACCAGGAAAAAGGGGCUAAUACCGGAGAGGAGAUCCUGCAGCACGGGGGGGGAUGGAAAGAUACGGCGGUAGUGGAUGGAAUCGAGGGUUAUGAGCUGGUUGGGGGGGUAGGGGCAUACCAGGGCUAUGAAGGCUAGCCGGCCUGAGAGGGUGACCGGCGACAUUGGGACUGAGAGACGGCCCAGACGCCUACGGGAGGCAGCAGUGGGGAAUAUUGCACAAUGGGCGGAAGUCUGAUGCAGCAACGCCGCGUGCGUGAUGACGGCCUUCUGGUUGUAAACCGCUUUCGCCUGUGACGAAGCGUGAGUGACGGUAAUGGGUAAAGAAGCACCGGCUAACUACGUG
rnacentral:rRNA from 1 species